GGCGCCUCCGCUCAUCAUCCGCGCUCCCGGGUUGUUCGGCUUCAGCGCGCGUCAUCAAAUCCCGGGUGACUCGAGUCAUGCUGCACGGGCACGUCUCGUGGACUGUUCACGAGCCGGUGAAAGGCGGCCGAGGCUUAGAGGACGUCAGAGAGAGAGAGAGGGGGGGAGAGAGAGAGAGAGAGAGAGAGAGACAACAUCCGUACAACCAACCAUGUUGACCUGCCCCUUCCCUCCAACAGACAGGCUGGUUGAAUAGUGCAAACGACAAAAAACCAAUGGUGAAGCACAGAUUUCUCCUCUUGGACUGACAACGUGUGACAAAGGCCACCACGCAGGUCUGUUGGUAGCGAGGCCCCGCCCAGAAUCUCCUGGUUUUUAUAGUGUUGGUGAUGUCAUCGUUGACAUCAUGGGUUAAACCAACUGGUGGGGGUUUCUUUUUAGUUGAAAUGUUAAGUUUGAUAGCUUAUUGUUUGUUAGUAAAAUCUGUUGAGAUGCAUACCUUACAGAUAGUGAUUUAGAAAUGGAGUGAGAUUGGGAAGGGAGCGAAAUGAUAAUUUAGAUUUCCUGGUGUUACGGUCACUGUAGGUUUCAUCCCUCAGUAAAUACUGAUACAGGCUGAAGGAGUAUAGGCGUUAAUUGAACACCCUAUAUAUUCAGUAGCAUUUCUUUUUUUUUGUUGAGGAGAAAGAACAAAGUGAGACUGUGCCGCUGUGAACAUGUGUCUUUUAUUUGGCUUGUCAUGAGUUCAUUUUCAGAUUUCAUUUCUUUGAUUUGGACAAGUUACACAUGUAAUGGGGAGCAAUGCAAUUAAACAUGUCUGAGUCUGCCUACCCACCACUUUCAUUUGACAUUUGAGUCAAACUAUCUUACACAACGAGGUGGAACUUGUACUUAAAGUAAGAUCAUCUAUCAAGUAUUUCCUGAAUGUCCAUUAAACACAUUGGAAACUGCAUACUUGAUAGUAUAUUCAUCUCAAUGUCUGAGUUGCCUGGCAGGGGUUUUGCCACAUGUCUGUGCGACCAGCCAACGUAUUAUAGAUUCACUUUAAUAUCAGGCGUCGGGCUCUGUAUUACAUGCGGUUAUAUGGAGUUUAUCUUCACCACCCACUUUUAUUGUAAGGCAGUACAACUCCGCUUCAACGUGACAACUCACAAAGUGUCGUGUUUGUUUGCUCACUGAGGCAGGAUUUUGUACCACACAGACAUGCGCCCAACUCAUGAUUAGCCUUUUUGAAAUGAUAUGGCGGAGGAGGAUAUGCUAUAGCAACCAAACACAGUAAUCUUUGCCCUCUUCAAUUUCUAAGCCGUUUGACGCAUCCAAGUCGUAAAAUUAGAUAAUCAUUUCUCCACACGCACAGCAUUAUUGGCUCUUUAUGCUGCUGUCAUGCUGGAUGUGGGACAGCUGCCUUCCCCUAAAAAAACUAAGAGAAUAAAAAGGACUGAUUGACUUUGUUGGAAAGUCUGCCUAUCCCUUUGAUGUGGAGUGUGGCGCGGAGCAGAGGCAGUCAAGAGAAUCACGCAGUUCAAAUUGGAAAGAACUUAAUCUCUGUCUGUCUUGGGAAUGUUAUUUGACUCUUGAAGUGCUCACCUUGGAAGAGGUGGCCAGGGACAUGGGAAGGAAAAGUAAUUGGAUACAUGUUAACUUCUUCUGAGCUUUGUGAUAACCUGAGACUUGGCAUUUUCCACAUGACACCCAACAGUAUCUUCAGAUGUGGAACAUUUACCUUUUUCACUCAGAUUUACUGUAUAUCGAUGCAUUUCAUAUCUCUCCCAACCACUUUUUUUUUUGUUUUACUUACUCACACUUGAGUUUUUUUUCUGAACAAUAUGCUACCUCUCUCUCUCUCUCUCUCUGGGCUGUGAGCAAUGCAUCAUUGUGGGAGGGCAAUAAGGUCCAAUAAACAGUCUCCUAAUGACAUGUCCAUAAAUGAAAACAAGAAGGGUGGCUCACAGGUUACCAUUAUGUAAUUCACAUGCUGCCAUAGGGAAUGACUGUCCACAAACACCAUGGUCCACAAUCAGCGCCUGCCCAUAAGACUGGGAGUGAGUCAGUGUCAGUGUGUGUAAUUAUGCAUGUUUGCUUUGUUGUCAAUG